AAGUUGUACAACCCACCUCCCUUGUCAAUCUUUAUCCCCCCCACCCAGUUUUUUCAAGAAUGUUCCCUGUCAGUUAUCCUAUACCACACAGAUGAUUUGUCCCUGAGACCUUGUCCCUCCCUUGUUUAUUCCCCAUUACUUGCUGUGAGCCUUCCACUCCUCUCCAAGUUUUUCCCCAUUGGUUGUUCCCAAACCACUCCUUUACACGCCUACACCCUUUAUAAGUUGUUACAGAGUGUUCUGUAGUCCCCGCUUGUCCGUGACCCCCCAUCAGGGGUAAAGUUUCCUUGGCUUGUCACACAAGUGUCCUCUCUCUUGUUUCUUUGUUUCGGGAUUCUCCUCUCUCAGUCAGGCAGCUUUACCCACGCAGCUGCCCACGCUGCUACCAGCUGCUUUCAUCAGACUCUGGAGUGGCCACUCUCGUGGCUCUGCCUGGCCACCAAAAGAGAUCUGCUAGCCGGCGCCAUCGCGUCUCUGUGGCCGUAGCCUGAGAGCGACAUAGGGGUAGAUCACAUUUUCUGUUCCUGAGAGAGGAUAACAUUAUGUAUGGAAGAGACAUCGUGCGUGACUAGUUGAAAUGUAGCAGUGCCAGAGUUGCAGUGCCAGAGUUGAUUUUAAGCAUCCUCAAGGUGAGCAAGCAUCAUAUGGUAUGGAAUAACCCUUCAGUCAGUUUGGAUCAUCUGUCUUUGCUAUGUCCUCAGCCAAGAUUUUGCCCAUCACCAGCCUACUGGUGUGUGUGUGGAGAUGUGGAAAACAGAACAUUUCCAGCUACAAGUACAAAACACAACACUAUGAGGGCUGCUGUGGGAGAACUGAACUGUACCUCAGCCAGGCCCCAUACAUACCUUAUAUAGCAAAAAAUUCUCUCCUAUAUGUUGCCUAUGAAUUAAGGAAAAAAUACCAAGUUUUUGGCAUUAAAACCACAUAUAUCAUUGAGGUGGGCAAGAACACAGCACAUAAUGCUGCCAGGAGCUGUCAGAGUCAUUAGGUCCAGUUUCUCUGCAAUCACAAGCAAUCAGGUUAUGUAGUACCACUGAUAUGUGUAUGAAGCUUCUCUUCAUCUCCU